GACGAACGCUGGCGGCGUGCUUAACACAUGCAAGUCGAACGGUGAAGCUCCAGCUUGCUGGCGUGGAUCAGUGGCGCACGGGUGAGUAACACGUGAGCAACCUGCCCCUGUCUCUGGAAUAAGCGCUGGAAACGGCGUCUAAUACUGGAUACGAGAUGGUUCCGCAUGUGCACUUUCUGGAAAGUUUGUCGGUUGGGGAUGGACUCGCGGGCUAUCAGCUUGUUUGUGAGGUAGUGGCUCACCAAGGCGACGACGGGUAGCCGGCCUGAGAGGGGGACCGGCCACACUGGGACUGAGACACGGCGCAGACGCCUACGGGAGGCAGCAGUGGGGAAUAUUGCACAAUGGGCGAAAGCCUGAUGCAGCGACGCCGCGUGAGGGAUGACGGCCUUCGGGUUGUAAACCUCUUUCAGCAGGGAAGAAGCGAAAGUGACGGUACCUGCAGAAGAAGCACCGGCUAACUACGUG
rnacentral:rRNA from 1 species